UUCACAGACGCCUUAGGAUUCUC
rnacentral:piRNA from 1 species